AGAUGUGAGGGAGAUCUGACUGUGACAUCUGUCACCCCAUUGAUCAUCGGGGUUGACUUGGCUGAUCUGGCUGGCUAGGCAGGUGUCUCCUUCUUCCCUCACCAUUCCAUGUGUCCAUCCUGAAGCUGCACUUAGUUGAAAAGGACAACCAUCCUGAUAGAGGAGGAUCAUUUCCUUAGUCAAGAGUAUAGGAGUGGCUACACUUCCUUGCUUGAAGCUCCAAACAAACUCUCAAGAAAAAUCAUGAUCCAUAGGCAUUCUUGCUCUUAAGGUACAGCUCUUGAGGACUAAGGAUUCCAAGAAG
rnacentral:snRNA from 1 species